UACGUAGGUGGCGAGCGUUGUCCGGAUUUAUUGGGUUUAAAGGGUGUGUAGGCGGCUUUGUAAGUCAGUGGUGAAAUAUGGCAGCUCAACUGGCAGGGUGCCAUUGAUACUGCGGAGCUUGAGUACAGAUGAGGUAGGCGGAAUUGACGGUGUAGCGGUGAAAUGCUUAGAUAUCGUCAAGAACACCGAUAGCGAAGGCAGCUUACUGGGCUGUAACUGACGCUGAGGCGCGAAAGUGUGGGGAUCAAACAGG
rnacentral:rRNA from 1 species